rnacentral:rRNA from 1 species
GCAUAUCAAUAAGCGGAGGAAAAGAAAAUAACAAUGAUUCCCCUAGUAACUGCGAGUGAAGAGGGACAAGCUCAAAUUUUAAAUCCAUCGGGUUUUACCCGAUCGAGUUGUAAUUUGAAGAGGCGUUUUCUGUGUUUCUGAUCAGUCCAAGUCCUUUGGGAUAAGGCAUCAUGGAGGGUGAGAAUCCCGUCCGGUUGAUCAGAUUCGCUUUACGAUACGCUUUCUAAGAGUCAAGUUGUUUGGGAUUGCAGCUUAAAAUGGGAGGUAAAUUUCUCCUAAGGCUAAAUAACGGCGAGAGACCGAUAGCGAACAAGUACCGUGAGGGAAAGAUGAAAAGAACUUUGAAAAGAGAGUUAAACAGUACGUGAAAUUGUUGAAAGGGAAACGAUUGAAGCCAGUCGUACCUUCGGGUAAUCAGCCUUUCGGGUGCGAUUCUGUGGAGUGUGAGGAGUUAAACACCUUCAUGUUUUGCAUAUUCGUACUCUUGGGUGUACUUGCCCGUGUGGUUGGUUAACAUCAAUUUUGGUGGUCAUAAAAUGACUGGAGGAAUGUAGCUUCGAUCUCGUAUUGAAGUGUUAUAGCCUUCGGUAGAUGUGAUGAUCGAGAUUGAGGAUUGCAACGGAUACCCUUCGGGGCUACCUGUCUGAUCUCUGAUCGUUGCUCUGGUGCCGAAAGCUUGCUUACGGUUAUCAAAGUCGAUGGUCAAUAGGUUAGAACGGGUUAAAUUCGUUAAGGAUGUUGACGUA